rnacentral:rRNA from 1 species
CCAAUAGCGUAUAUUAAAGUUGUUGCAGUUAAAAAGCUCGUAGUUGAAUUUCGAGAUCAGUACGCUGGUCGUGCCUUCGGUAUGCACUGGUGUCACUGGUUUCUCCCUUCUGAAGAACCGUCAUGCCAUUCAGUUGGUGUGGCGGGGAAUCAGGACUGUUACUUUGAAAAAAUUAGAGUGUUUAAAGCAGGCUCGCGCUUGAAUACAUUAGCAUGGAAUA